rnacentral:rRNA from 1 species
GAUGAACGCUAGCGAUAGGCUUAACACAUGCAAGUCGAGGGGCAGCAUGGUCUUAGCUUGCUAAGACUGAUGGCGACCGGCGCACGGGUGCGUAACGCGUAUGCAACUUGCCUCACAGAGGGGGAUAACCCGUCGAAAGACGGACUAAUACCGCGUACACUUGGGAUAGGGCAUCCUGACCCAAGGAAAUGAAAUUCGCUGUGAGAUAGGCAUGCGUCCCAUUAGCUAGUUGGUGAGGUAACGGCUCACCAAGGCGACGAUGGGUAGGGGAACUGAGAGGUUGAACCCCCACACUGGUACUGAGACACGGACCAGACUCCUACGGGAGGCAGCAGUGAGGAAGAUUGGUCAAUGGGCGAGAGCCUGAACCAGCCAAGUCGCGUGAAGGAUGACUGUCUUAUGGAUUGUAAACUUCUUUUAGACGGGAAUAACAAGAGCCACGUGUGGCUCCCUGCAUGUACCGGAUGAAUAAGCAUCGGCUAACUCCGUG